UCAACAAACAUUUAUUGCGUGCC
rnacentral:miRNA from 1 species